rnacentral:rRNA from 1 species
GAAUUGUUCGCAAUGGGCGAAAGCCUGACGACGCAACGCCGCGUGGAGGAUGAAGGUCUUCGGAUUGUAAACUCCUGUUGAUUGGGACGAACACCCGCCGGGUGAACAGCCUGGCGGGCUGACGGUACCGAUUGAGGAAGCCCCGGCUAACUCUGUGCCAGCAGCCGCGGUAAUACAGAGGGGGCAAGCGUUGUUCGGAAUUACUGGGCGUAAAGGGCGCGUAGGCGGCCGCUUAAGUCAGACGUGAAAUCCCCCGGCUCAACCGGGGAACUGCGUCUGAUACUGGGUGGCUUGAAUCCGGGAGAGGGAUGUGGAAUUCCAGGUGUAGCGGUGAAAUGCGUAGAUAUCUGGAGGAACACCGGUGGCGAAGGCGGCAUCCUGGACCGGCAUUGACGCUGAGGCGCGAAAGCCAGGGGAGCAAACGG